AGCGGGGUGGACCAGCCUGGAGUGGUCGCCGGGCCCAUAACCCGGAGGUCGGUGGUUCAAAUCCACCCCCCGCUA
rnacentral:tRNA from 1 species